CGGGCUAUAGCGCAGUUGGUAGCGCGCAUGCAUGGGGUGCAUGAGGCCGUGAGUUCAAAUCUCACUAGCCCGACAA
rnacentral:tRNA from 1 species